AGAGUUUGAUCCUGGCUCAGAUUGAACGCUGGCGGCAGGCUUAACACAUGCAAGUCGAACGGUAGCAGGAGGAAGCUUGCUUUCUUGCUGACGAGUGGCGGACGGGUGAGUAAUGCUUGGGAAUCUGGCUUAUGGAGGGGGAUAACUACUGGAAACGGUAGCUAAUACCGCGUAAUAUCGAGAGAUUAAAGGGUGGGACUUUCGGGCCACCUGCCAUAAGAUGAGCCCAAGUGGGAUUAGGUAGUUGGUGGGGUAAAGGCCUACCAAGCCUGCGAUCUCUAGCUGGUCUGAGAGGAUGGCCAGCCACACUGGAACUGAGACACGGUCCAGACUCCUACGGGAGGCAGCAGUGGGGAAUAUUGCACAAUGGGGGGAACCCUGAUGCAGCCAUGCCGCGUGAAUGAAGAAGGCCUUCGGGUUGUAAAGUUCUUUCGGUGAUGAGGAAGGUGUUUUGUUUAAUAGACGAGGCAAUUGACGUUAGUCACAGAAGAAGCACCGGCUAACUCCGUGCCAGCAGCCGCGGUAAUACGGAGGGUGCGAGCGUUAAUCGGAAUAACUGGGCGUAAAGAGCACGCAGGCGGAUUGUUAAGUGAGAUGUGAAAGCCCCGAGCUUAACUUGGGAAUUGCAUUUCAGACUGGCAGUCUAGAGUAUUUUAGGGAGGGGUAGAAUUCCACGUGUAGCGGUGAAAUGCGUAGAGAUGUGGAGGAAUACCGAAGGCGAAGGCAGCCCCUUGGGAAUAUACUGACGCUCAUGUGCGAAAGCGUGGGGAGCAAACAGGAUUAGAUACCCUGGUAGUCCACGCUGUAAACGAUGUUGAUUUGGGGAUUGGGCUUUAAGCUUGGUGCCCGUAGCUAACGUGAUAAAUCAACCGCCUGGGGGAGUACGGCCGCAAGGUUAAAACUCAAAGGAAUUGACGG
rnacentral:rRNA from 1 species